rnacentral:rRNA from 2 species
CUAGCGGCAGGCUUAACACAUGCAAGUCGAGGGUAUGAUUCUUCGGCAGCAGAACCGGCGCACGGGUGAGUAACGCGUAUAGAAUCUACCUUUUACAGAGGGAUAGCCUAUAGAAAUGUGGAUUAAUACCUCAUAGUACAUUUGAAUGGCAUCAUUCUACAGUUAAAGUUACAUCGGUAGAAGAUGAGCAUGCGUCCCAUUAGCUAGUUGGUAAGGUAACGGCUUACCAAGGCAACGAUGGGUAGGGGUCCUGAGAGGGAGAUCCCCCACACUGGUACUGAGACACGACCAGACUCCUACGGGAGGCAGCAGUGAGGAAUAUUGGGCAAUGGGCGCAAGUCUGACCCAGCCAUGCCGCGUGCAGGAAGACUGUCCUAUGGAUUGUAAACUGCUUUUAUACGGGAAGAAACAUAGCUACGAGUAGGUGUUUGACGGUACCGUAAGAAUAAGGAUCGGCUAACUCCGUGCCAGCAGCCGCGGGUAUACGGAGNAUCCAAGCGUUAUCCGGAAUCAUUGGGUUUAAAGGGUCCGCAGGCGGUUGAAUAAGUCAGAGGUGAAAUCCCAUAGCUUAACGGUGGAACGGCCAUUGAUACUGUUAAACUUGAGUUAUUAGGAAGUAACUAGAAUAUGUAGUGUAGCGGUGAAAUGCUUAGAUAUUACAUGGAAUACCGAUUGCGAAGGCAGUCUACUACUAAUGGAUUGACGCUGAUGGACGAAAGCGUGGGUAGCGAACAGGAUUAGAUACCCUGGUAGUCCACGCCGUAAACGAUGGAUACUAGCUGUUGGGAGCAAUCUCAGUGACUAAGCGAAAGUGAUAAGUAUCCCACCUGGGGAGUACGAUCGCAAGAAUGAAACUCAAAGGAAUUGACGGGGGCCNGCACAAGCGGUGGAGCAUGUGGUUUAAUUCGAUGAUACGCGAGGAACCUUACCAAGGCUUAAAUGUAGAUUGACCGGUUUGGAGACAGAUCUUUCGUCGGACAAUUUACAAGGUGCUGCAUGGUUGUCGUCAGCUCGUGCCGUCUGAGGUGUCAGGUUAAGUCCUAUAACGAGCGCAACCUUGUUGUUAGUUGCUAGCGAGUAAUGACGGGAACUCUAGCGAGACUGCCGGUGCAAACUGUGAGGAAGGUGGGGAUGACGUCAAAUCAUCACGGCCCUUACGCCUUGGGCUACACACGUGCUACAAUGGCCGGUACAGAGAGCAGCCAUCUCGCGACAAGGAGCGAAUCUACAAAGCCGGUCACAGUUCGGAUCGGAGUCUGCAACUCGACUCCGUGAAGCUGGAAUCGCUAGUAAUUCGCGUAUCAGCCAUGAUCCGGUGAAUACGUUCCCGGGCCUUGUACACACCGCCCGUCAAGCCAUGGAAGCUGGGUGUACCUGAAGACGGUUACCGCAAGGAGCUGCCUAGGGUAAAACUGGUAACUAGG